CAGCAGCCGCCACGGUAAUACGAAGGGUGCAAGCGUUAAUCGGAAUUACUGGGCGUAAAGCGUGCGUAGGCGGUUUGUUAAGUCCGUUGUGAAAGCCCUGGGCUCAACCUGGGAAUUGCAGUGGAUACUGGGUCGCUAGAGUGUGGUAGAGGAUAGUGGAAUUUCCGGUGUAGCAGUGAAAUGCGUAGAGAUCGGAAGGAACAUCUGUGGCGAAGGCGACUAUCUGGGCCAACACUGACACUGAGGCACGAAAGCGUGGGGAGCAAACAGGAUUAGAUACCCCGGUAGUCCCUGUCUCUUAUAC
rnacentral:rRNA from 1 species